rnacentral:rRNA from 1 species
GACGAACGCUGGCGGCGUGCCUAAUACAUGCAAGUUGAGCGCUGAAGGUUGGUACUUGUACCAACUGGAUGAGCAGCGAACGGGUGAGUAACGCGUGGGGAAUCUGCCUUUGAGCGGGGGACAACAUUUGGAAACGAAUGCUAAUACCGCAUAAAAACUUUAAACACAUGUUUUAAGUUUGAAAGAUGCAAUUGCAUCACUCAAAGAUGAUCCCGCGUUGUAUUAGCUAGUUGGUGAGGUAAAGGCUCACCAAGGCGAUGAUACAUAGCCGACCUGAGAGGGUGAUCGGCCACAUUGGGACUGAGACACGGCCCAAACUCCUACGGGAGGCAGCAGGAGGGAAUCUUCGGCAAUGGACGAAAGUCUGACCGAGCAACGCCGCGUGAGUGAAGAAGGUUGUCGGAUCGUAAAACUCUGUUGGUAGAGAAGAACGUUGGUGAGAGUGGAAAGCUCAUCAAGUGACGGUAACUACCCAGAAAGGGACGGCUAACUACGUG